rnacentral:rRNA from 1 species
CCCAAGAGAUCGGGAUAACACCUGGAAACAGAUGCUAAUACCGGAUAAUAACAGAUGAUGCCUAUCAACUGUUUAAAAGAUGGUUCUGCUAUCACUCUUGGAUGGACCUGCGGUGCAUUAGCUAGUUGGUAGGGUAACGGCCUACCAAGGCGAUGAUGCAUAGCCGAGUUGAGAGACUGAUCGGCCACAUUGGGACUGAGACACGGCCCAAACUCCUACGGGAGGCAGCAGCG